GCUGAUCUGCUAAUAAAAUCUACGAAGAAGAAAACCUGUGUCUUCCGGUACUAUCAGAUUUAAGAGCCCCGGCGCGAAACAUUUAUUUUGGUGACGCGACAGUAAAUAAAGACAUUUCUGAUGUGUACAACGGGGGACAAUGGAGUAAUAAUAAUUCUCAGUGAUGAUGAGGAGGAGGAUGAAGAACACGACGUAUCAUGCAGUGAAGCCUCGGUUGUCAUAGUGGAGGUGGAGGAUAUCAAGAAGAAUGAUGUUGCGUUAUCGCAAGCUGCUCUGGACGAAGACCUGGUCGUCACGUUCUCCCGCCGCGCGGAGGUGCUGCCUCACGCCCGCUACGACUGUGCCAUUCAUCCUUUCACGGCUACAGAUUGUGAGGUCGGUUCUCCUGUGGCCAGUAACCAGCUAAUAUGUGAUCAGUGCUUCUGCUACAUCUGUGACAAGCUGGCAUCAGUGUGUGUACUGUGGGUCCAGAGCGGAGUGUGUCACUGCAACAGCCACAAAAGAAGCGACUUCUGGAACAGCCAGCGGAGCACUGGACUGCUGGGAGGACUGAAGCCUUUCAACCUCACGUUGUCUGAAAUAGAUGGUCACCUCCGACAUGCAGAGACGCUGCUCCAGAGGUUCAAGCAAGAGCUCGCUGCACGGUUCGCUACCUUCCUGAAAGGAAGGAUGUUUCAAGAAUAUGGUUUUAACCUUCCAAACCAGCCAGGCUUCGUCUUUGAUUACACGCAAGUGUACGAGUUUGUGUCAUCGUUCCUCAACCACACAGACAAUCAGAACGGCAGAGCUGCGGCCAUCUUGAGACUGGGAGCCGCAGAGCAAUUUACUAGACAUUAUCAAUCCUCAGGAGUUUACGUCUUACCAUUGCCCAUGGCCAAUGCUUACAAGGCUAAAGUGGUGCUACUGCAGAGGGUGGUGGCGUCGGUGCAGAGACAGAUGGUGAUGGAUGAUUUUACUUCAGAUUUCAUCCAAAAGCUGCAGGAGUUUUACAAAAACAUAAUUUUACCAGCUGAGCUGAAAAGCAUGAAGAACAGCCUGUGUGUUCGUCCCUGGGAUGACGUCCUGCUGGUGUCGGUGCUGAAGGGACAGAAUGUGUCGGGCGUCCGCAAAGACAAAGGCAAGAAGGACGUCCUGCUUGAACAGAGUCCUGUAGUUCAACUGAGAACUGAGCUGCUGCAGCGACAGCACAGGUACAGAGAGUUGUGUCGCUACCUACGAGUUGUCCAGACUGAUGAUCCCAAACUCGUCCAGCCGCUUCACGACCUCAUGCCUUACUUCAUGUGCAUGGACGGAGGCUUCAUCUCGGCCUGCCACAGUUUGGUGCCGUCGGUGAACCCCCCCGCCUCGAGCUUCACGCCGCUCAUCUUCCUCUUUUAUCUCCGCAUCUUUGAAACGGCGAUGGCACCGAAGCGGGCGGUCGGUCACAUGACAGAGCUCUGCCACCCUGAUGUCCCAUGGGAGCCAAUUAAAGGGGCUGUUGCACUGAAGCGUGCUGAGCUGGUGAAGUUUGCUCUGCGGGUUCAGAGAUGCUGCUCGGCUGUCUACGCUGAUUCUCAGUGUUGGCACCGUUUACUCACACUGGUCAACUCCCCCUGUGGGUCAGUCACCGCUCUGCAGGCCCCGAGCCCACAGUUUCUACACGAAGCAAAGGAUGUUGUGAUUUCGAUACUGCUGAAGCCGCCCGGGACAAAUAUACAGAUCCCACGUUUCUUUCAGGAGGUUUACCCAGAUCAGGCCUUGUUGCUGCUGGCUACAGGAGCGUUAGGGUUGAGAAUCCUCAGUGCUGCUCUGACUCCAGCUCUCCCUGUUCUCAACGCAUUCCAGGAGAACCAGUGGGCCCUCUGGUGGCUGUGGGAGAGUUUGUCCUCCAACGUAGAACGUCUCAACUCCUUCUCACAGGAGCUCACACAGGAAGUGGAUAACGCCACAGGUGGGGAUAGUUCAUUUUCCUUUCUCCGCGCUAUCAUACUCACUCUGUCUUCUUCAGCACGGAACUGGGACCAGUGAGUCUUAUUCAUUUUAAACCACAAACUUCCAGCUGUAGAGUUUUUACCAUUUCCCUUUUUAAAGGGGAUCCUAAGAGAUGUUAAGCUCUGAUCUGUCGCCCCUUUUCCCCUCCAUGUCCUCUCCUGGUGUGGUGGUGAUCAGCACCUACUGCAGCGCAGCAGCAGUUAAUCUCGUCUCUUCCCAAGAGAAGGACCAGUCCGAGUGUUAACUAUUGUCCUGAUUGCACAUCACUACGCCUCAACAUCGUGGAAUCGCCACAGAGUCGAGCACUGAGAGAUUUACACAUCACACAGAAUAAACCUGUAAAGACCAGGUAGUGUCGGCAUAAUGAAGAGAACAAUAUCUUCACUGUAAAUUACAUUAUUAACACCUCAGAGACACUAUAUUCUACCUUAUUCUUUAAUAAUCUACUUUCCAGUCUGAUCUGAGCAGGAUCAAAAAAGUUGAAUUCUGCUCUGUGGGAUUUUGUUCUAUUUGAACUGAAUUAUGUUUACUUCCUGGAAAUACUUUUAGAUAUUCACUAUUUUAUUGAGACAUUUAUGUAACUGUAAAUAAAAAAAAAGAGAACACCUUUAUGAA